rnacentral:rRNA from 1 species
GUGGGGAAUAUUGGACAAUGGGCGCAAGCCUGAUCCAGCAAUGCCGCGUGUGUGAAGAAGGUCUUCGGAUCGUAAAGCACUUUCGACGGGGACGAUGAUGACGGUACCCGUAGAAGAAGCCCCGGCUAACUUCGUGCCAGCAGCCGCGGUAAUACGAAGGGGGCUAGCGUUGCUCGGAAUUACUGGGCGUAAAGGGCGCGUAGGCGGCUCUGUGAGUCAGGCGUGAAAUUCCUGGGCUUAACCUGGGGACUGCGCUUGAUACUGCAGGGCUUGAGGCCGAGAGAGGGUGGUGGAAUUCCCAGUGUAGAGGUGAAAUUCGUAGAUAUUGGGAAGAACACCGGUGGCGAAGGCGACCACCUGGCUCGGUACUGACGCUGAGGCGCGACAGCGUGGGGAGCAAACAGGAUUAGAUACCCUUGUAGUCC